GACCCAGAGAGGAGAGACACCUGGUCCAACAAGGUGAUGGACGGUCCAAACAAUGGACAUGAGCCACCACAGGAGCCUGAAGGGAAAGUAACGAGAGCAGCCAGGAGCUGAAAAUGUGGGCAGAGGAACAGGAUGCUAAGGACGAGUUGGACGACAGUUUUCUGAACUGCAUCCUGAUUUCCUGUAAUCAAGAUUUGUGGACUAACAUGUUGUCUGGUUGGUGCUCGGCCCAGGACAGGAAGGCUCUGCAGCAUGUGAUCCAUCCAUCCACAGAGCAUCAGUGACAGAGGAGAGGUGAGGUGUCUGCUAAGAGAUCAGAGAAUACUAGAAAAGACUAAACAAACCAGAAGUAACCGCUGAGACUCCCAAACAUCCUCAACAAAAUAUACUGCUUUAGUUUCCGUCCAUCUGUGAUGAAGCAUUAAAUUAGUCAAACGUAUUUUACAAGCCUCGUGUUGGCAAAUCUUUUCUAUCAGAUCAGUAGGAAAUGUUGUGCUGCUCGCAAACAGACUCACUCUCUCGGCUGUAUAGACUUCAAGCAGCAAGAGCGCCACCAACCCUCAGAAGCUCCCGUGUUAGAUACUAAACUUUAUGUCUUGUGAAGGACAAACAUUAACAGUUUUCUUAACUCGCUGUUGUUCCUUCAUCGUUCCAAAUCCAAAUCAAUGCAUUCACAAUCUCCUGUCGCUCACAGUGUAACAUUUUGGCAAUAAGAGUUUUGGUGUUUUUAAUACGAGCAGGAGGUAUUUUCUUUAAUUAAAUGAACUCACAAACCCCAUCUUUGUUUUUAAUAAGGAAGUAUUUUGUAGUUAUUGAGUACGACUGAGGGUCUGUCUAAUAUCCAUGGCUGUUGGACAUUUUGUCCCUCUCUCUCUCUCUCAAAGACAGACCACAUGUGUCACGGAUUAAAGAUUUUGACAAAGAAUUACACGAAAAGUAACCGGUAAAAAAAACCCUUCAUAUUAUUCAUGCAAGUAGUCUAGGAAGUACUAAGUUCAGCGGUAUAUGAAUCGUGGACUACUUAUGAAAAAUCAUUUUUUAUUCCAUAUGAAAUGAAAUAUACUUAAUCUUGAGAUCUGGUCAGGAUUUCGACAAAGUUUUAUGUAACAUUAGGUUUAUUUCACCUGGAGGGAGGCAAAUAGUAACUGAUCUCCACACCUGAGUCAGCCUCCCACCAGAUUAAAUAUUCCUCUACUUAGCAGGUAACUGUAUAAAAAAGCAGAUUUAUAGAGAAUACUUUACAAGCCUGGGUCUGUGGGCGGGACUAAUUUUAGACAAAAUGAAUGAGACUGCAUCUAAGUGACUGUUACUUGGGAUAACACCUUAGAAACCUAAAUUUUGGAGUGAUGAAAAGAGAGAUCCCUCUGCACAAAAGCUUUGGCUGUAAUAUGUCAACAAAUGAAAUGAAGUGAUUUUGAACCUGGAUUUAUUAAAAGUUCAGAUUUAUGUUCCAUAAAUGUGUGUACUUCUAAUUAGAAAUGAUUCUCAUUUGCAUAUUUAAACAUAACAUUAAAUAAUACAUUGUGAUAUACAAGCAAUUAACAAAAUUUUCAUGGUAACUUUUUUUUGUACUUUAUUUUGUAGCUUUAUCUAAAAAUGUGUAGAAUAUAGCAUUUCAGUUCAGUCAUCUCAAUAAUGAUACUUUUCUCAGUCAAGUCUCACUUAAACUGUCUUUAUACUGUUUUACAUACAGUAAUACGUGGAUUAAAAGAGAUCUCCAAAAUUGACUUGGUAAGAACUCAUUUAUGUCAACAUGUACAUGUAAACCCACUUACAAUGAGCAUGCAAGGAAUGAAAACAGUGGUUUUGGUUGAACAAAUGCUUGUAUUUUAACUAGAUAUUAUGUUCUGACAGACAUGAAACUUGAUAUGAUAGUAACAAUUAGUAACAAUAUACGUACAGGGGACGAUGA